rnacentral:snRNA from 1 species
GCGCUUGUUUCGGCAGCACAUAUACUAAAAUUGGAACAAUAACAGAAAAGAUAAGCAUGGACCCUGUGUAAGGAUGACAUGGAAAUUCCAUAUUUCU